rnacentral:rRNA from 1 species
UACAGAGGGUGCGAGCGUUGUCCGGAAUCACUGGGCGUAAAGGGCGCGUAGGCGGUGGCUUAAGCGUGUGGUGAAAGCUCAGGGCUCAACCCUGAGUCGGCCGUGCGAACUGGGUCACUGGAGCAUGUCAGAGGCAGGCGGAAUUCCGGGUGUAGCGGUGGAAUGCGUAGAGAUCCGGAAGAACACCGGUGGCGAAGGCGGUCUGCUGGGCAGUUGCUGACACUGAGGCGCGACAGCGUGGGGAGCAAACAGG